AGAGAAAAGAGAAGGAAAUAAAAAAAUAACUCUUCAUUUUCUUUCCCUGAGGAACUUCUUUGUUUUUAUUUGUGUGUACAGUGAAUCUUUGUAUUUCUUCCCCAGCAACCCCUGCCCAGCAACACUACCACCCUCUUUGGCUAGUAGAAAUCUCUGAAAAAAAAUUGAAACUUAUCUCCAAAUGCAGGGACUGUAAAUAAAGUUACUAUGUCCUCUGCUUUUUCAAAAAUAUAAGUGACCAUUGGAUAUUAGAAAGCUGCUUUACUUUUACUGAAAAGAGACCUUUGUGUUCAGUAUCAAUUUCUUCAUAGGAGAUAAAAAGGUUUGGAUUAAUAAUAGCAGUUACUAUGUGCUAUGCACUGUUCAAAUUGCUUUAUGUAUAUUUGCUCAUUUAGUUCUAAAAAUAAUCCUAUGACAUAGGUAUUAUUACCCAGUUUAACAGCUGAGAAAUCUGAGUCACAGAGAGUUAAGUGACUUGCCCAGAGUCACAUGGCUACUAAAUAGCAGAGCUCUGGAUUUCAUGCUCUGAACCAUGUGCAAAAUAUCAAAGCUAUCAACUGAGGUUAAAAGCAAAGCAACUGCUUAGGGGAAAUGCGACUUUCUUAGGUAUUGGGCCUGGGAAAAAUUUCUUCUUCGGGUAUUUAUAAAAUUGAUGCCAUAUGACAUUGUGAACACUAUUUUUCAUAACAACCUUCCAGUAAAUAGCAUGAAGCUUUUUUUUUUUUACAUGAUAAAUCUUUGAGGAGCCAAUAUCUUGUGAUUCUGGUGUAUGCCUUUGAAGUUGUGUGGCAUGAUUUGAGGACAGAUUAUAUAUCCAUCAGGUGAACAGAUGGACGGCAUGUCUUCUGAGCACUCCUCCCUGAAUGUGUUUUGAGACUACACUUCUAUGAAGCAUAGUCUAGCAAAGAAUUUGAUUUUAUCCUUUCUGUCAGGAAUGUAGAGUAGAAGUGUCGUAUGUUGUCAGUUAAAGGCAGAUUCUUGAAUUUUAACAAACGCAGCAGAAGGGUUAGUAUCCUUCCAAGUAUGCCUGAACAGAAGCCUGCCCGGCCGCAACACAGAAGAUGUGAUCUUCUAAGAGUCUUUCUUGGUGUGAAAUUCCAUGAUUCUAUGGAUGUGAAAUACAACUUCAGGUUUAUAGAACUCCAAUGUUCAGAUCUUAGAGUCGUAAUGAAUUGCUGUAAGAGUACAGUGCUUCUAUGACAGUGUUAUUUAUUUGUAACAAAAAAGGAAAAAUAGGGAGAACAAUUGUAGAUUACUGCUUUCUUUGAACUGAGUCAGAGCUUCUUCACUGGUAAGUAUUCCCCUUCCCAUAUUUCUUUACCAAUCAAAAUUUCUAAAAUAGUAUAAUACUACAUUCUAAGCAUAUUUGAACUUGUAUUUAUUUUUCAUACAGGAAAUUUGGAAAAUAAAAAUCAGCAUUAAGAAAAAAUAAAAAUCUCCAACAAUCCUACUAGAGGCUAUAAAUCUCAGUCCUGUCUGUUCCUGCCCACACACACAUGACAACGUACUUAAAGGGUCGAAUAUGCACACUGUGUCUCUUUCUCCUGUUGAGACCAUUCCUCGAAUACCUGGUGAUGUCCUGGAUGUCUGUUCACAUUUGAGGAUAAGUUACUAAGUAGAUGAUUGGGAGCCACAACCAGCUACUCAAAACAUAUUCACAUUUAUCUAAAAAUGAAGUCCUGGUUAAUGUAAAACUACAACAUGUGGUCUGCAGAACCUGAAGCUGCGGCAAAGAAACCUACCAUCUUCCAGCAGAAAUCUUCAGUACCAUGAUGGAGCAUGGGCAUAAUCCCAGUUGCUGACCCUGACGUCACCGCUGCCUUGGCCAGCCCUGCUUCCACCCUCGCCCCUCGCCUGGCAGGGGGAUCGGUGGGGAUUUCACCAUGGCGUGAGCAGUUGUCUCUGUGCCAUUCUACAAGAGCAUGAGCUCUUGUCUAAACAGUCAUCCAUCCUAUUUCUUCCACUUCUGUGGAGGCCACAUUGGACUGACAUUAGUGAGAAAUAAACCUUUAUUGUGCUAA